rnacentral:rRNA from 1 species
GAGUUUGAUCAUGGCUCAGGACGAACGCUGGCGGCGUGCUUAACACAUGCAAGUCGAGCGGUAAGGCUCCUUCGGGAGUACACGAGCGGCGAACGGGUGAGUAACACGUGAGCAAUCUGCCCUUCACAUCGGGAGUAACCUCGGGAAACCGAAGCUAAUACCGGAUACGACCAUCGGUGGCAUCAUCUGAUGGUGGAAAGUUCCGGCGGUGAAGGAUGAGCUCGCGGCCUAUCAGCUUGUU